UAGGUGUGUAACAUAGUGGUCUACUGGAUUUAAAUGGAGCUUAAGUAAGUGUGUGUCUUAAGUAAUGUAUUCUCUUGUAGCUUUGUAAAUUACACUGAUGAAGAUGGAUCUGAACUUCUACUGAAGACAUAUGGACGGAACCCAGUAAAGAGAGCAGACAGCAGCAUGUCCAGUGUUCAGCUGUGUCUUUGAGGAGAAAUAAUGGAGCCUCACAGCUCAAGUAGUGGAGCAGGAACUUCUGAACCACUGGUGAAGAGAGCAGAAUCUCCAGUAUCCAUGAAAAGUGACUGGUCCAUGGAUCCUUCUUAGAACUUCAGCAGUGGAAGGUGAGUGA